UCUCCACCCUCCAGCAGUCUCUCUCUCUCUCUCUCUCUCUCUCUCUUUCAUUAGGUAACUUCCUCCUCUGCAGUCAGUCCUUCAGAGUCUCAGAGCUUCACCUUCAUUCCAGCAAACAUGAGCAAAUGCUUCAAGUCCGUGAAGUACGCCCUGCUCGUCUUCAACAUGCUGGUUGCUAUCGUUGGAGUUGAGAUGCUGAUCUUCACUGUUCGAGCGACAAAUGGCACCUCGGAGUUGGACAAGUCCUUGUUGAGUCCAGGUCAUCUGAUCCAGUACUGGCUCACCACCAUCGCCAUCUUCGGCCUCGCCGCUCUGGGCACGUACGGCAGCGACAGCGAGAAGAGGACCCCGCUCAUCGUGUUCUGUGUCCUGAUGUGGAUCACCACCGUCAUCCUGGUGAGCUACGGCACCACCGUCAUCCUGACCAUCGACGAGGUCAAAUCUGGAAUCCCUGCAGGCGACCGACAGAGUUUGACCGAGUCCUUCAGCACGGCUUUGGGAAUCUUCUUCGGAACCGGUGCCUUCACGUUUGUGGGGGGGCUGCUGGCCGUGCUCAUGGUGAGGCAGAUCCAGCAGCGCGGCGACGUUGGCAGCUGGAUGCCACUGAAGAAUCCCCCGUCGCUCCUGAUCAAUAAAUGCUAACAGGGGCAACCUCUGCCACACUGUGCCAACAAGAUGCUCACUUCCUGUUUCUGUUACAAAUGUCCAAAUUCUUUGAAAUUUUACUUCAACUAAGACACAUUUACACUUUCAAUAUUUUUCCAUCUGUAUGAAUUUUCUCAUAGAAACUGAAGAAAGACUGCUUCAAAAAAGGACAUGAAGAAAAACAUCUCCAAAGAUACAAUAAAAUGACCCCAAUCAUACAAUCAAAGAAGCUUUUGUGUCAUUUUGUUCACGUUUUUGAU
rnacentral:lncRNA from 1 species